UGUGACGCCUGCUCCAGGCUUUUAUCCCCUAGAGCUCAACUAAGACUUAAGAUGGCGGCGUGCGUGCUGAGGAAAAGUACUGCUGGCCUAUUAGGUGUGGAAAGCAGCCAAAGAGCAAAUCUGGGGAAAAUACAGAAGCUCGCCAACUUUUGUUUUGUGAAAUGGGAAAAGGGGUCAAUUCUAUAAUCAACUUCCCACUUGAAGAAACUAAAAAAGAAAAACAUAAUUAACCCCAAACCAGCUAAAGGAAGGAAAUAAUAAGAUGGAUUUAGUCACUUAAGAGGGACAGAGCAGGAGGAGAGGCAGAAGGAGAGAAUCUCCAAGCAGACUCCCUGCCAAGCAGAGAACCGGCUCAAUCCCACA